rnacentral:rRNA from 1 species
UACAGAGGGGGCAAGCGUUAUUCGGAAUUAUUGGGCGUAAAGGGCGCGUAGGCGGCCUGGCAAGUGGAAGGUGAAAUCCCUCGGCUUAACCGAGGAACUGCCCUCCAAACUGCUUGGCUUGAGUCCGGGAGAGGUGAGUGGAAUUCCCAGUGUAGCGGUGAAAUGCGUAGAUAUUGGGAGGAACACCAGUGGCGAAGGCGGCUCACUGGAACGGAACUGACGCUGAGGCGCGAAAGCGUGGGGAGCAAACAGG